rnacentral:misc_RNA from 1 species
CGUGCCUUCUUGCCACAGG